UGCAAGUCGAGCGGUAGCACAGAGAGCUUGCUCUCGGGUGACGAGCGGCGGACGGGUGAGUAAUGUCUGGGAAACUGCCUGAUGGAGGGGGAUAACUACUGGAAACGGUAGCUAAUACCGCAUAACGUCGCAAGACCAAAGAGGGGGACCUUCGGGCCUCUUGCCAUCAGAUGUGCCCAGAUGGGAUUAGCUAGUAGGUGGGGUAACGGCUCACCUAGGCGACGAUCCCUAGCUGGUCUGAGAGGAUGACCAGCCACACUGGAACUGAGACACGGUCCAGACUCCUACGGGAGGCAGCAGUGGGGAAUAUUGCACAAUGGGCGCAAGCCUGAUGCAGCCAUGCCGCGUGUAUGAAGAAGGCCUUCGGGUUGUAAAGUACUUUCAGCGAGGAGGAAGGCAUUGUGGUUAAUAACCGCAGUGAUUGACGUUACUCGCAGAAGAAGCACCGGCUAACNUCCGUGCCAGCAGCCGCGGUAAUACGGAGGGUGCAAGCGUUAAUCGGAAUUACUGGGCGUAAAGCGCACGCAGGCGGUCUGUCAAGUCGGAUGUGAAAUCCCCGGGCUCAACCUGGGAACUGCAUUCGAAACUGGCAGGCUAGAGUCUUGUAGAGGGGGGUAGAAUUCCAGGUGUAGCGGUGAAAUGCGUAGAGAUCUGGAGGAAUACCGGUGGCGAAGGCGGCCCCCUGGACAAAGACUGACGCUCAGGUGCGAAAGCGUGGGGAGCAAACAGGAUUAGAUACCCUGGUAGUCCACGCCGUAAACGAUGUCGACUUGGAGGUUGUUCCCUUGAGGAGUGGCUUCCGGAGCUAACGCGUUAAGUCGACCGCCUGGGGAGUACGGCCGCAAGGUUAAAACUCAAAUGAAUUGACGGGGGCCCGCACAAGCGGUGGAGCAUGUGGUUUAAUUCGAUGCAACGCGAAGAACCUUACCUACUCUUGACAUCCACGGAAUUUAGCAGAGAUGCUUUAGUGCCUUCGGGAACCGUGAGACAGGUGCUGCAUGGCUGUCGUCAGCUCGUGUUGUGAAAUGUUGGGNUUAAGUCCCGCAACGAGCGCAACCCUUAUCCUUUGUUGCCAGCGGUUCGGCCGGGAACUCAAAGGAGACUGCCAGUGAUAAACUGGAGGAAGGUGGGGAUGACGUCAAGUCAUCAUGGNCCCUUACGAGUAGGGCUACACACGUGCUACAAUGGCGCAUACAAAGAGAAGCGACCUCGCGAGAGCAAGCGGACCUCAUAAAGUGCGUCGUAGUCCGGAUUGGAGUCUGCAACUCGACUCCAUGAAGUCGGAAUCGCUAGUAAUCGUAGAUCAGAAUGCUACGGUGAAUACGUUCCCGGGCCUUGUACACACCGCCCGUCACACCAUGGGAGUGGGUUGCUAAAAGAAGUAGGUAGCUUAACCUUCGGGAGGGCG
rnacentral:rRNA from 1 species